rnacentral:misc_RNA from 1 species
AAGUCGUAACAAGGUUUCCGUAGGUGAACCUGCGGAAGGAUCAUUAACGAGUUAGGGUCUUCCAAGGCCCGACCUCCCAACCCUAUGUUUAUUGUACCAUGUGUUGCUUCGGCGGGACCGUCUUCACGACCGCCGGAGGGCCGUAAAACGUCCUCUGGCCCGCGCCCGCCGAUGGCCCCCCAUCAGAAAACUCUUGAAUAAUCAUGCCUAUAUUGUCUGAGUAAUACACAAAAAUUAAAAGCAAAACUUUCAACAACGGAUCUCUUGGUUCUG